rnacentral:rRNA from 1 species
AUCGAACGCUGGCGGAAUGCUUUACACAUGCAAGUCGAGCGGCAGCGCGGUCUUCGGACUGGCGGCGAGCGGCGAACGGGUGAGUAAUACAUCGAAACAUGCCCAGUCGUGGGGGAUAACACUUCGAAAGAAGUGCUAAUACCGCAUACGUCCUGAGGGAGGAAGCGGGGGAUCGCAAGACCUCGCGCGAUUGGAGUGGCCGAUGUCAGAUUAGCUAGUUGGUGGGGUAUAGGCCUACCAAGGCAACGAUCUGUAGCUGGUCUGAGGGGAUGAUCGGCCACCCUGGGACGGAGACACGGCCCGGACUCCUACGGGGGGCAGCAGUGGGGAAUUUUGGAAAAUGGGGGCAACCCUAAUCCAGCCAGUCCGCGUGAGUGAAGAAGGCCUUCGGGUUGUAAAGCUCUUUCGGCAGGAACGAAACGGCGAGCUCUAACAUAGCUCGCUAAUGACGGUACCUGAAGAAGAAGCACCGGCUAACUACGUGCCAGCCGCCGCCGUAAAAC